UACGGGGGGGGCAAGCGUUGUUCGGAAUUACUGGGCGUAAAGGGCUCGUAGGCGGCCAACUAAGUCGGACGUGAAAUCCCCAGGCUCAACCGGGGAACUGCGUCUGAUACUGGAUGGCUAGAGGUUGGGAGAGGGAUGCGGAAUUCCAGGUGUAGCGGUGAAAUGCGUAGAUAUCUGGAGGAACACCGGUGGCGAAGGCGGCAUCCUGGACCAAUUCUGACGCUGAGGAGCGAAAGCCAGGGGAGCAAACGGG
rnacentral:rRNA from 1 species